rnacentral:tRNA from 1 species
GCGCCCGUAGCUCAGCUGGAUAGAGCGUUGCCCUCCGAAGGCAAAGGUCAGAGGUUCGAAUCCUCUCGGGCGCGCCA